GGGCAUAUGGUGUAGGGGUUAUCAUGUUCGCUAAGACUCGCUUCGCAUCCAUAGAAGGAUUCUACAGUCUUUGUGAAAGGUCUCCGGUUCAAAUCCGGAUUUGGCCA
rnacentral:tRNA from 1 species